CUAAUUGGCCUUGCAGCACUGCUGACCGCAAGCUUCAUCAGUAAUAUUCUACUUUGUGUGAAAAAGAUGAAAGGAAACACAUCUCAACCCGUUCAUGCUACAGAUGAUGUAGUGUCAAGUGUACAGUACCACAGGACCUCCGAUUUGAAUUAUGCUGCUUUAAAAUUCCCAAGCCGAAACUCAAGACAGCAGCGAGAGGAGAGUCAAAGGCCGACGGAGUACUCCGGACUGAAAUAUAAAAACUCUGUAUUGUAAUACUGAAUAUGUAUAAUUGCUAGUAUUGUUUGCUAAACAGAGCCACUUUAAAUA